rnacentral:rRNA from 1 species
AACGAACGCUGGCGGCAGGCUUAACACAUGCAAGUCGAGCGAGACCUUCGGGUCUAGCGGCGGACGGGUGAGUAACGCGUGGGAACGUGCCCUUCUCUACGGAAUAGCCCCGGGAAACUAGGAGUAAUACCGUAUACGCCCUUCGGGGGAAAGAUUUAUCGGAGAAGGAUCGGCCCGCGUUGGAUUAGGUAGUUGGUGGGGUAAUGGCCCACCAAGCCGACGAUCCAUAGCUGGUUUGAGAGGAUGAUCAGCCACACUGGGACUGAGACACGGCCCAGACUCCUGCGGGAGGCAGCAGUGGGGAAUCUUAGACAAUGGGGGCAACCCUGAUCUAGCCAUGCCGCGUGAGUGAUGAAGGCCUUAGGGUUGUAAAGCUCUUUCAGCUGGGAAGAUAAUGACGGUACCAGCAGAAGAAGCCCCGGCUAACUCCGUG